AAUGGGCGCAAGCCUGAUGCAGCGACGCCGCGUGAGGGAUGACGGCCUUCGGGUUGUAAACCUCUUUCAGCACAGACGAAGCGUGAGUGACGGUAUGUGCAGAAGAAGGACCGGCCAACUACGUGCCAGCAGCCGCGGUAAUACGUAGGGUCCGAGCGUUGUCCGGAAUUACUGGGCGUAAAGAGCUCGUAGGUGGUUUGUCGCGUUGUUCGUGAAAACUCACAGCUUAACUGUGGGCGUGCGGGCGAUACGGGCAGACUUGAGUACUGCAGGGGAGACUGGAAUUCCUGGUGUAGCGGUGGAAUGCGCAGAUAUCAGGAGGAACACCGGUGGCGAAGGCGGGUCUCUUGGCAGUAACUGACGCUGAGGAGCGAAAGCGUGGGGAGCGAA
rnacentral:rRNA from 1 species